ensembl:snoRNA small nucleolar RNA SNORD35
UGCAAAUGAUGUUUCUCACGAUGGUCUUCCAAGCCACCUAGGCUCUGACGACAGUGCCUAAUGGCAACACUGAUGCAGUGUA